GCCAUUUGGCUCAAUGGUUAGAGUGUUGGCCUGUGGACCCAAGGGUCACGGGUUCACUUCCUGGUCAAGGGCA
rfam:Myotis davidii contig88692, whole genome shotgun sequence.